UACGUAGGGCGCAAGCGUUGUCCGGAAUUAUUGGGCGUAAAGAGCUCGUAGGCGGUGUGUCGCGUCGGCCGUGAAAACCUGCAGCUUAACUGUGGGCUUGCGGUCGAUACGGGCAUCACUGGAGUUCGGCAGGGGAGACUGGAAUUCCUGGUGUAGCGGUGAAAUGCGCAGAUAUCAGGAAGAACACCCGUGGCGAAAGCGGCUCUCUGGAACGGUACUGACGCUGAGACGCGAAAGCGUGGGGAGCGAACAGG
rnacentral:rRNA from 1 species